rnacentral:rRNA from 1 species
CGCGGCCUAUCAGCUUGUUGGUGAGGUAAUGGCUCACCAAGGCUUCGACGGGUAGCCGGCCUGAGAGGGUGACCGGCCACACUGGGACUGAGACACGGCCCAGACUCCUACGGGAGGCAGCAGUGGGGAAUAUUGGACAAUGGGCGGAAGCCUGAUCCAGCAACGCCGCGUGAGGGAUGACGGCCUUCGGGUUGUAAACCUCUUUCAGCACAGACGAAGCGCAAGUGACGGUAUGUGCAGAAGAAGGACCGGCCAACUACGUGCCAGCAGCCGCGGUAAUACGUAGGGUCCGAGCGUUGUCCGGAAUUAUUGGGCGUAAAGGGCUCGUAGGCGGUUUGUCGCGUCGGGAGUGAAAACUCAGGGCUUAACCCUGAGCCUGCUUCCGAUACGGGCAGACUAGAGGUAUGCAGGGGAGAACGGAAUUCCUGGUGUAGCGGUGAAAUGCGCAGAUAUCAGGAGGAACACCGGUGGCGAAGGCGGUUCUCUGGGCAUUACCUGACGCUGAGGAGCGAAAGUGUGGGGAGCGAACAGGAUUAGAUACCCUGGUAGUCCACACCGUAAACGUUGGGCGCUAGGUGUGGGACUCAUUCCACGAGUUCCGUGCCGCAGCUAACGCAUUAAGCGCCCCGCCUGGGGAGUACGG